UAGUUUGAUCAUGGCUCAGCCUUUGACUUAAAAAAAUGGAGAAGUCGUAACAAGGUAGCCGUAAGUCGUAACAAGGUAACCGUAAGUCGUAACAGGGUACCGUAGAGUUUGAUCAUGGCUCAGGAAAGUCGUAACAAGGUAACCGUAAGUCGUAACAAGGUAACCGCAGAGUUUGAUCAUGGCUCAGAUAAGUCGUAACAAGGUAACCGUAAGUCGUAACGAGGUAGCCGUAGAGUUUGAUCAUGGCUCAGAAGUCGUAACAAGGUAGCCGUAAGUCGUAACAAGGUAAAUCUGAAUUCG
rnacentral:rRNA from 1 species